rnacentral:rRNA from 1 species
AUUGAACGCUGGCGGCAGGCCUAACACAUGCAAGUCGAACGAGUGGCGGACGGGUGAGUAAUGUCUGGGAAACUGCCCGAUGGAGGGGGAUACCUACUGGAAACGGUAGCUAAUACCGCAUACCAUCGGAUGUGCCCUGAGGGGAUUAGCGAGUAGGUGGGGUAAGGGCUCACAAAGGCAACGAUCCCUAGCUGGUCUGAGAGGAUGACCAGCCACACGGGAACUGAGACACGGUCCAGACUCCGACGGGAGGCAGCAGUGGGGAAUAUUGCACAAUGGGCGCAAGCCUGAUGCAGCCAUGCCGCGUGUAUGAAGAAGGCCUUCGGGUUGUAAAGUACUUUCAGCGGGGAGGCGUUACCCGCAGAAGAAGCACCGGCUAACUCCGUGCCAGCAGCCGCGGUAAUUC